rnacentral:rRNA from 1 species
UGGGGAAUAUUGGACAAUGGGCGAAAGCCUGAUCCAGCCAUGCCGCGUGUGUGAAGAAGGUCUUCGGAUUGUAAAGCACUUUAAGUUGGGAGGAAGGGCAGUAAGCGAAUACCUUGCUGUUUUGACGUUACCGACAGAAUAAGCACCGGCUAACUCUGUGCCAGCAGCCGCGGUAAUACAGAGGGUGCGAGCGUUAAUCGGAUUUACUGGGCGUAAAGCGUGCGUAGGCGGCUAAUUGAGUCGGAUGUGAAAUCCCCGAGCUUAACUUGGGAAUUGCAUUGGAUACUGGUUAGCUAGAGUGUUGGAGAGGAUGGUAGGAUUCCAGGUGGAGCGGUGAAAUGCGUAGAGAUCUGGAGGAAUACCGAUGGCGAAGGCAGCCAUCUGGCCUAACACUGACGCUGAGGUACGAAAGCAUGGGGAGCAAACAGG